UAACAUCAAUGGUAGGAUACUACGUCAUCGCGCACCUGCUGAAUGCUCCCACUUGGACCAUUUUUUCGUCGACUCAAAGAAAGUAUUUGUAUUUGUGACCAGUAUGGGAAAAGGUAUAAACCACAUUGCGACGUAAGGAAGCACAUGGCAGGACAUCUUGGCACGGUCAAGCUGGAGCAAAUAUUUUAGAUACCAACUGUGGAUAUAUCUCAUUGAGGAGGAAUACUCUAGAAAACACAAGAAUAAUAGUUCUUUGAAGUAAUUGUCUUUUGUUCAGUUUUUUGCGUUAAUUUUUGGACAAUGUGUCAUAAAGGAUCAAUUCAUCUGAAAUUUCACCACUGGAGGAUAGAUUUCAAUAAAGUAAAAUACCGCAAACAAGAAUGACAACUCUCCAGUUUUGGAGUUAUUGCUCUUUGUAUUCACUAUCAUUAGUUUGCAAGGACCAUACCUCUAAAGGUAUUUGAGAUAUAAACUUAAAACUUUAUAUUGAACAUGUUUAAUAGAAGUGAAUAGCAGAGCAUAAGGACCAGAAGUGUUCACUUAAUGCUUCUUUGUUGUUUUACUUUGUUUUUUUCAUGGGAGUGUUAUUUUUGUCAUGAUUUAUUAUGUCUAGGCUAUAACUUUUCAUUAAUUUUCACGAGUAUCAUUACUUGGAUUUUUUACACGUAUGUAAGGGUUACUUCCCCCUUUGAAAUGUACUUCCUCCUUAUGGCGGGGGAUUUUGCUGUCUGUGAUUCCUUCUUGUAUUAUUGUUAUUAUUUUAACGUCAUUCAAAUAUCCUGAAAUCAUUUUUCUAUGAUUUUAUUCAUAAAUAUAAUGCUUAAAUGAAGAUUUAUCAAUAUUGUAUGUCCCGAAAAGCAUUAUUUGUAAAUAUAAUACCGAAUUUACAUUUCAUAAAGGGAGGUAAUUAGAAAUAUAUUUUCCAUUAAGUGUAAGUUGAAUCUUUCAAAAGGAAAUGAAUGCAUUAUGCAUACAUGUAUAUUUUAAUGAUUACAUAUAUUUUGGACAAGCAUUUGCAGUACGUAUUUUACAUAUUCCUUUAUGUUUGAAAAUUGUUUAAGUACCAUAAAUAUUAAUACAUUUAAUUUAUAGACAAUUUCAAUUGGUAACAGCCUGAAAUAUAACUUUCAUGAUCUUUGAUUACCAAAAUAUGGUAAAGACUGUGAUAAAGAAAUAACUAUGAACUUUGUUUUCUUAUUUUUUUUAUCUUUUUAUUUAGGUAAAAAUACGAACACAUGAUAACUUUCAUACUUAAAAUUGUCAAAGUUGUUAAUAAUUGUGACGCCGUAGUAUGGCAGUACAUUGACUUUUUAACCAGUUCAUGACAAAAAUGAUUUACAUGUUGUUCUUUAAUAAACUAUUCAAAUCAA